rnacentral:rRNA from 1 species
GACGAACGCUGGCGGCGUGCUUAACACAUGCAAGUCGAGCGGAGCGGCGAACGGGUGAGUAACGCGUGAGUAACUGCCCCCCUCUCUGGGCUAACAGUUGGAAACGGCUGCUAAUACCGGCUAGUGGGGGAUGACUCGCGUCCUAUCCGCUUGUUGGUGGGGUAGUGGCCUACCAAGGCGACGACGGGUAGCCGGCCUGAGAGGGCGACAGGCCACAGUGGGCUGAGGGAGGGCCCAAACGCGUACGGGAGGAAGCAGUUGGGAAUAUUGCACAAUGAGGGAAAGCCUGAUGCAGAAAGGCGCGUGCGGGAUGACGGCCUUGGGGUGGUAAACCGCUUUCAGCCAUGACGCGGUAGUGGCAGAAGAAGCACCGGCUAAAUACGUGCCAGCAGCCGCGGUAAUAC